rnacentral:rRNA from 1 species
AGAGUUUGAUCAUGGCUCAGGACGAACGCUGGCGGCGUGCCUAACACAUGCAAGUCGAACGACCUAGCAAUAGGCGAGUGGCGGACGGGUGAGUAACACGUGGGAACCUGCCCGAAGAGCGGGAUAACAGCGGGAAACCGCUGCUAAUACCGCAUACGCCCCGGGCAUCUGAUGAGGAAAUGGAUUUCGCUUCGGGAGGGGCUCGCGCCCUAUCAGCUUGUUGGUGGGGUAACGGCCCACCAAGGCGACGACGGUAGCUGGUCUGAGAGGACGAUCAGCCACACUGGGACUGAGACACGGCCCAGACUCCUACGGGAGGCAGCAGUGGGGAAUAUUGCGCAAUGGGCGCAAGCCUGAUCCAGCAACGCCGCGUGGUGAUGACGGCCUUCGGUGUAAAGCUCU